AUUGAACGCUGGCGGCAGGCUUAACACAUGCAAGUCGAACGAUGAUUAUCUAGCUUGCUAGAUAUGAUUAGUGGCGGACGGGUGAGUAACAUUUAGGAAUCUACCUAGUAGUGGGGGAUAGCUCGGGGAAACUCGAAUUAAUACCGCAUACGACCUACGGGUGAAAGGGGGCGCAAGCUCUUGCUAUUAGAUGAGCCUAAAUCAGAUUAGCUAGUUGGUGGGGUAAAGGCCCACCAAGGCGACGAUCUGUAACUGGUCUGAGAGGAUGAUCAGUCACACCGGAACUGAGACACGGUCCGGACUCCUACGGGAGGCAGCAGUGGGGAAUAUUGGACAAUGGGGGCAACCCUGAUCCAGCCAUGCCGCGUGUGUGAAGAAGGCCUUUUGGUUGUAAAGCACUUUAAGCAGGGAGGAGAGGCUAAUGGUUAAUACCCAUUAGAUUAGACGUUACCUGCAGAAUAAGCACCGGCUAACUCUGUGCCAGCAGCCGCGGUAAUACAGAGGGUGCGAGCGUUAAUCGGAAUUACUGGGCGUAAAGCGAGUGUAGGUGGCUCAUUAAGUCACAUGUGAAAUCCCCGGGCUUAACCUGGGAACUGCAUGUGAUACUGGUGGUGCUAGAAUAUGUGAGAGGGAAGUAGAAUUCCAGGUGUAGCGGUGAAAUGCGUAGAGAUCUGGAGGAAUACCGAUGGCGAAGACAGCUUCCUGGCAUAAUAUUGACACUGAGAUUCGAAAGCGUGGGUAGCAAACAGG
rnacentral:rRNA from 1 species